GGCCUAACCCUCACAGUUUGACUUUGAGAUAUGGCAAGAAUACCCAUCCCUGAUACUGAACCCCUCGUUCAGCAAUCUCAGGGAUGGGACAUAUCCGAAAGGGUAUGUGGACCGCAAGGUUC
rnacentral:sRNA from 12 species